CCUGAGUGCUGGGAUUACAGGUGUGAGCCACCGCACCCAGCCUAAAUCUAACUUUCUAAUGAUUGAUAUCUUUUGUUAUGAAUGCUAACUAAAAUCUUACAACAUUUUGGGGUUCUCUGUUUAAUUUUUUAAAGCACUUAUUAUUAACUUUUCUUGAGUCAUGGACUCCUUUGAGAAUUCUGUGGUGUGACAGCUUCACAGUGGGCCAGAGAAGGGCUCGACUGGCUUGGAAACAGGCCUGUGCUGAGCAGCGUCGAUGGCUGUCAGAUGGACUGGCCCAGUUCUCCGUGGGGAGUGUCUGACACAGGAAUUCUAACCGUUUCACUCCUCUUGAUUAUGAGUAUCUCAGACUUCAAACAUUUACUAUUGGGUCAAAAGUUCAA
rnacentral:lncRNA from 1 species